AGGGAGCCUGUAAUUUUGCAUUCUAGCCCCUCCAAACCUUCAAAUUUUCACUUUUGGCAUUUUGCACUUGGAAAUUCUGCUGGAAUCUAGCAGCGACCUUGAGAGAUUUGACUCAUGUGCGGCGUAGGAGCAUCCAAAUUCUGUGAAACUUGAUUUUGAGGAUUGUGGACUCGUGGGAGAGUGUGUGGAACCAAUUUAAUAACAAGUAAUUGAGGUUAGUAUGAUCAAAUUGCUGUUUUCUUAGGAUUUUUGUGUUCUUGAGCUAAAAUUGAAGUUUUCUUGGUGUUUUUGGAUCCGAAUGUCUUGAGAGCUGGAUUUUCAAAGUGAGAGUUGGUUUUCCAUCAUCCUCUACUGGUUUUGAAGCUUUACCUACCUGAAUUCGAAAUUUGAGAGAUUUUUAUAGAAAGCUUAUUGAUGAAUUUGGAUUGAUUCUCCACUCUAUUUGGAAGGUUUUAGGCAUCCAGAAGUUGGGUUCGAAUCUGCUUUGAGAGCUUUUUGGUAAUCUUUUUGAGCUCGAUUUUGGUGAGAAGUUUGGGGAAUUGAUCUUUAGCCUUUUGAGGUUGUAACUGCCAACUUGCUGUUCUGGACCCUUGUUCUGAGCGCCCAGGAGUUAGCACAGGAGGAUCCAGAUCUUGACAGCAACCUGAUUUAGCCUAUUUUGAGGCAGAACAUUUCCAGGAUCUUCUCCAGCGACUUCUUGCCUUUGUUGGAGUCGCG